UACGGAAGGCAGCAGUGGGGAAUAUUGCACAAUGGGCGAAAGCCUGAUGCAGCUAUGCCGCGUGUAUGAAGAAGGCCUUAGGGUUGUAAAGUACUUUCAUCGGGGAGGAAAAAACAAAACUAAUAAUUUUAUUUCUUGACGUUACCCGAAAAAGAAGCACCGGCUAACUCCGUGCCAGCAGCCGCGGUAAUACGGAGGGUGCUAGCGUUAAUCAGAAUUACUGGGCGUAAAGAGCACGUAGGUGGUUUUUUUAAAGUCAGAUGUGAAAUCCCUGGGCUUAACCUGGAACUGCAUUUUGAAACUGAAAUACUAGAGUAUCGUAGAGGGAGGUAGAAUUCUAGGUGUAGCGGUUGAAAUGCGUAGAUAUCUGGAGGAAUACCUGUGGCGAAAGCGGCCUCCUAAACGAAUACUGACACUGAGGUGCGAAAGCGUGGGGAGCAAACAGGGAUUAGAUACCCGU
rnacentral:rRNA from 1 species